GUAAUGUAUGGGGAGUCUGCCCGACUAGAGGGGGAGUAACUACUGGAAACGGUAGGCUAAUACCGCAUAAUGUCUACGGACCAAAGCAGGGGCGUCUUCGGACCUUGCACUAUCGGAUGAACCAUAUGGGAUUAGCUAGUAGGUGGGGUAAAGGGCUCACCUAGGCGACGAUCUCUAGCUGGUCUGAGAGGAUGAUCAGCCACACUGGGACUGAGACACGGCCCAGACUCCUACGGGAGGCAGCAUG
rnacentral:rRNA from 1 species